GAGAUUUUGCUCUAGAUGGUGUGUAAAAUAAGUUUUGAUGGUAACGAAAUAACUUUUUCAGAAGUAAUGAUAAGAACUAUAAAACUGGGCAGUGUGUGCCUACAUUUAGUCCCAGCACUCAAGAGGCAGAGGCAGGCAAAUAUUUGAGUUGGAGGCCAUCCUAAUCUACCAAGUAAGUUCCAGGACAACCAGGGUCACACAGAGAAACUGUGUCUCAACACCACCCCCCUUCUAAAAAUAAGGACUAAUAAAAGGAAUUAAAAGAGCUAGGCUUGGUGGCCCAUACUUGUAAUCCUAACACCCCAGAGGCUUCCUGGUCUACCUAGUUAGCACAUUCAAGGCCUGCCUUGCUCAGAAAAACAAAGACCCAAAAGUGAUGACAGGAAGAAGUGAGUUAGAAAACGCAUUGGAAACGCUGCUCCUGAUUUUACAGAUUUUACCUGUGAAAGGAUACUAGUUUCUUCAGCAUGACUAGUUGGAAUGAUAAAUCAUUACAGAGAUUUCACAACUGAAAUAAUUCAGUAAAAGGCUCAGUUUGCCUAACUUGUUUACAGUUACCUCAUUAAAUCUCAUAACAGGGCCUCAUCCAUACUGUCUGCAUAGCUGGGGCAGGGCUUGAUACGGCAUGCUGACCUUGAAUUAAAUUUCUGUCUUGCCCAGGCAGCCUGCCACUUAUGUAAAGAGUGAGCCUUCCAGGCCUGUUCUCUAAUAAUAGAUCUAGGAAGCCUAAGGAAGAGCAGAAACAUUUGGAGGGCAUCUCUCUUUUACCAACUCUCCAAGGAAGGGCUUACCCUUUGUGAUGAAUAUAUUCAGAAAAAUGCUCACAAUCAUGAAAAAGCAUCUGUUUACACAUUUGGUAAUGAAACAAAACAGUUUUCAGAAAUGUGCUGCUGCUGUGUACAAAGAGGUGGCUGACUAGAAUACGUACUUGGGUCCCAUCCCCUCUCACCCCCCCCGUACACACACACACUGAGUUGCUACUUUUUUUAUAUCUUGUUUUCCUUAUAACUAAAAUCACACAUUUAGAAGGCGACUUACCUAGAAUUAGAAGUGCAGUCUAUAAUUUAAGAAAUAAUCUAUUUACACUUUGACUAGGAUUAUAAAGUUCAAGAACAAACUGUACUUUGAUGUUGCUAGAAAAUUUUUUAGGGUAUUUGUAUUUUAUAUUUUGUUUCUUUUCAUUGAGAGUCAUAUCCAUAACCUGUAUGGAGUUAUGAAUCAAUUAAGGUAGGACAUACAUUAAUUUCCUGUUUGUGUUACCAGGUAAUUUUUGGUACAUACUUUCACACCUACAUGGAAUAGUUCAGUCACCUCAUUAUGGCCUGGUGCUGUGGUUGAAACCCAAUGCACAUAGUACAUGUGACAUAUGAAUACAGUAAAAGACAAGGUAAAAAUGAGAUGUGUAAGACUCUUGCUCAAAUAAAGCAUCUAGCUUUACAGGGAGCUUCCCUCUACCCCCUUUCUUUUAAUAAAUAUGAGACGUACAUUGUAAAAUAACAGCAAAAAGUGUAGUAAUAAUACAUAAACCAGUACCAUUAUCAAGUCAUUUGUACUGUUACAAUUAUGUAUGCUAUACUUAUAUAAAAUACGUUAUAUCUUAUAUAUACUUGCAGGUUUGUUCAUGCCAGCAUCACCACAAGCAUAUGAAUAAUGUAUUACUAUAGCUACUACAUUACUGAGCAAUAGGAAUUUUUCAGCUCUGUUACAAUCUUAUGGGAUCAUCAUAUGAGAACUGUCAUUGACUAAAGCAUAAUUGUGGCACAUGAAUGUUCCUCUCAUCAUAAACUUUUACUAGAUAACAUAAGAAUAAGGAAAUAGAAAUUUUCUCAUGAUUGUUUUGUUCUUAGUUUGCUAACAAGGAAAAAUUUUGUAUUGCCAAUUUAAAAAAAUCUGCAUUAUACUUGAAAAGUUUACUGCUGAGGGAUUCAUAGCAUGCAUGUAUAAAGUAGAUUUUGUUUAGUCAAAACAGAUAACUCUAGUUUGUAUUUAUGAAACAAUAUACUCAGCCAAAUGUGGUGUCACAAAUCUGUAAUCUCUCUCAGGAGGUGAGUCAGGAAGAUUGUGAGUUCCAACUAGCUUGUGGUGUGUACCAAGACCCUUUCUCAAAAUGUGCUUGUAAAUGUGUUCUUGGGUCAUUUGUUACAAAUUAGUGGAGUCUUUAAUACAUUGAGAACUUUACAAAAAUUUUAUUACCAUAAGCAGAAAACAUAUAUCCAUCAGCAAUCAUUCCUCAUACCCCAAACUUUGCAAUUAUAAGCAGUGUGUAAGCCACUUUUUAAUUUUCUAUUUGUAUAGAUUUGCUUAUUCCGGCCUUUUCAUAUGAGUCAUGUAAUCUAUUGUUGUUGCAAGCAGUGUCUAAGCAACAACAGGAUUAAUUUCUGCCUUACACAGUAUUAAAAGCU
rnacentral:lncRNA from 1 species